AGAGUCCUGAGAUGUACGUGAUUAACCGACAGUUUUGAGCCAACACCUAUACAACGGGAGUUUACGUUUGUCUGUGGAGCACAUGCCUUCAUUGUAUGGACUUGUAAAGCAGACAGCAGAACACCCACCUGCGAGAGCAGGUUCAAAACUUAGGAGCCACGGCAUUGCGGGGCUCUU
rnacentral:other from 1 species